GUCUUUUUAGGGCUCUACUCACAGCAUAUGGAAGUUCCCAGGCUAGGGGUCGAAUUGGAGCUGGAGCAGCUGGCCUACACCACAGCCACAGCCACAGCCACGCCAGACCUGAGCUGCGUCUGUGACCUACACCACAGGUCACAGCAAUGCUGGAUCCUUAACCUACUGAGCGAGGCCAGGGAUUGAAGCUACUUCCUCAAGGUCACUAGUCAGAUAUGUUUCCACUGAGCCAUGACAGGAAUUUUCAUUUUUAAUAAUACAUUCUUCAUGCUUUUUACUAUUAUCACAGGGCCUGAAAUUUUGUGACUAAAAAAUAUUUAGAGCCAAUAAUAUAUUUAGAGCCAAUAAUAUAAUAUCUUCUGGCUCAAACAAUAAUUUAUACAUGGCAUUUAUUGCAUGUCCUUUAUAAGGCCAAGAAGCGAGGUGUAUUUAAAUUUGCCUUAUGUCUUUAACAUAUAAGCUCUACAGUUCUUACAAAGACAGGAGAAUGGUUUGUCCUGGCAUAUGCCACAGUUAUUGUGCCAGCCACAAGCCACAUGACUACUGCUACAGUUACACAACUUCCAACAGCGACACUUUGGAGGAGUAUUCUUUAAGUGUCAUGCAUUUUCUUUUUUUCUCUUUUUAGUGUUUCAUUUGUUCGUUUUUGUAGAUAAAGGAAAAUUUCUGGACCCUCUUUUAAGAAUGUUUCUUUUAUGUAACCAAUUGACAAAAUAAAUAUGUAGAGAGAAAAAUUUUAAUGGGGAAAAAGAAAUCUGGGAUCCUAAAGUUGAACAACAGACGAUUUCAUCUGUGUCUUUCAGAAAGAAUGUCUCAUAUAGUCAUAAUUUGUAAGUAAAAAACAGAUGAACAUAAAUGACUCAUUAUUAAGCACUGCCUCUGCAAUGGAGAAGGAUGCUGUUUGGGUAAAAACUCAAUUUUGUGCUGUUGACAAAUUGAGAAUUCUUUUAUGGCUUUUGGGGGGGGGGGCUCUGUGCUCAUUUCCUGGUCUCUUUAAGCCUGAUACGAGCAUAUGUUCUGGGUUAAUGGAGUAGAAUACAUGUAAAGUUACUAAAAUAAAAAGCUAAAUAUUUUAAGUUCCCCGAAGGAAGGGACUUUAUCAGUUUCCUUCACUGUUGCCUUUCAAAAUGACCUUCUCAUGAAGGAAUUCAUUGAUUCCCCCCCCCCAAUUAUUUAUUAAGCACCCACUAAUGCCAGGACUGAUCUGGGUGCUGGUCAUGGAGCAUGUGGGAUAAUGUAGAGAGACAGAAAACAAUUAAACAAAUGAAGAUGGAAUAAUGUCAGGGUGAUAAAAGACAACGCAGAUAAGGUGAUAGAGAGUCAUAGGGGUGCAGAUAUUUUAGGUGAGGUAUUCAGACAUAACGAUGCUGAGAAAGGGACAUUUGUUUCGGGACCUGAAAGGAGUGAGGGAACCAGCCACUAGCACAUCUGUACAGAGCCCUCCCAGCAGCAGAGUAAAGUACGCAUGCGUGGAGUGCUGGGUGCCGACCAAGGCGAUCCAGGUGAACCGCUGCGUGGAAGAAGAGAGGUGAAAAGUGAUGGAGCUGAGGUGGCGGGGGCCUCUCAGGCAGCGUCUGGCUCCUGCUGGCCUGGACUCUUGGUGAAGAGUUAGUGAAAUGAGAUAAGGGUUUAAUGAGAAAGUAUAGUGUGAAAUGUAAGCUGAGAUUUGAAGUCACCCUAUUCUUUGGUCCACAUUCAUGGACUAACUCACUCAUUUCCUUUCCACUCAUAGUCUAAAUGAUUUUUGAAUAGUAGACACCCCCUGGACCUAUGUGCAGGUUUCUAACAAUAAUAAUAAUAAUCCUAACAUUUAUUAAUUUCAUAAAAAUUCAAGCGAUGGAAGGAGAAAUCAUCUCUUUUGCUGUAGCUCCGUUGUGUAGAUUAUACCAACCUCCUGAAAUUCAGCAAUGCUGUGCCUGUCAUAACGAGGGGAAUUGGGCUAAUUUUUCAGGACUCAUCACGCAUCACCCAGUCAAUGACAAGUGAUAUGAAGUCUCUGCUAAAAAAUAGGCCAUGAUUUUUAUGACACUGAAGCCAUUUCCUGAGCUCCCUCAAGAUUAAGUGAACUUGUACCAGCUACAUUGAUAGAAAUAGCAAUUGUAUUUCUAGUUUUUAAUUUCCCUAUCAUGAUUGGCUCUGAAUGAAUGGUAUAUACUGUAAAAUUCAUUCACUAUAGUCAGUGCCUACUAGCAGGCAAUGCCUGCAGGAUGUGGCCGGGGUUCUAGGCCUGAACCACCCUGAGUCACUGAGAAAAGUGAUGGGCUUAUACUAGAGCCUCUUCUAGCUGGAAAAUGCUGUUAUCUUGGAACGGAUUACCAAAUGCAAUAUGGGCAAGAAAUGUCCAAUCUAAGGAUGAGGAACUAGAAUAGAUUUCAAUAAAAAUAAUGCUUUGUCUCCUAAGCCUUAGUUCACAAUCUGGUAAAACCUGCAUUUCAUAAAUGAUGGGAGCAAUGUUGCUGAGCUUGCCCCAAAAAUACUGGUCAGUCAAUUUAUGUGUGUUAUUAAAUAUAUCUGAUCAGUAACAUCAUAGGGACCAAUUCAUAAUCUACCCUAUUUUCCCUUCUUAUAUAGGGGGAAAAAUACACACACACGUAUGCACACACACACAUAUUCUUUGUAGAAGCAAUUUUGCUGGACUCCCUGACCAAAGGAUCAUAAGGGGUUUUUUUGGUUUUGUUUGUUUUCUUUUUUUUUAGGGCCACACCCAGGGCAUAUGGAGGUUCCCAGGCUCCCUAGCUGCAGCUGCCAGCCUACACCACAGCCACAGCCAUGCUGGAUCCGAGCCGUGUCUGCAACUUAUGCCUCAGCUCACAACAAUGCCGGAUCCUUAACCCACUCAUGGAUCCUAGUCGGGUUUGUAACGGCUGAGCCACCACAGGAACUCCUAGAAUCACAAAGUUUUAUCUAUUAAUACGAAAUGACCCAAACAGAGAAUCAUUUAGAAACUCCAAAGGAUUGGAAAAAAGAGGAAAAUGGGAGACAGCAAGAAAGCAAUCCAAGAACUGUGACUUCAGUGUGGGAAACCCUGAAGCACUACUUAAAUAAUCAUUACUUUAGGGAGUUCCUGUUGUGGCACAGCAGAAACGAAUCUGAGUGGUAACCAUGAGGUUGCGGGUUCAAUCCCUGGCCUCACACAGUGGGUUAAGGAUCCAGUGUCACCAUGAGCUGUGGUGUAGGUCGCCAAUGUGGCUCGGAUACUGCGCUGGUGUGGCUGUGGUAUAAGCCAGCAGCUGUAGCUCCGAUUCAACCCCUAGCCUGGGAACUUUCAUAUGCCACAGAUGUGGCCCUAAGAAGAAAAAAAAAAUCAAUGCUUUAGUUGUUAUUAAUGUAAUAAACAGUUAAAUAGGAAAAUAGAGAGGUUGCCAUAAAUACGUAAUAUAAUGUGUCAGUCAAUGAAUGACAAACACUUGUGUAUAUUUCAGAAAGGCAUCUCCUUAUAACAAUGACAAAGUUAUUUUUCAAGGUAAUGUUUCUUGACAUUAAAAAAAAUUAUACAAAAUAAAUAAAAUGAGAUCUAAUCCAGUAAGGGUAAAUGAAAAAUGUCCACAGAAUUUUCCUAUCUGCACCUCUCAAAAACAGCCUAAAUUUCUUCCCUAAUUCUACCAUGAACAUGCUUCUCAACCCAGGGUCCAUCACCAGAGGCCCU
rnacentral:lncRNA from 1 species